GAAGCGAGACGGAGACGUUAAGCGAAACCCAAAAAAGUAAGUCUCAGUUCGGAUUGAAGGCUGAAAUUCGCCUUCAUGAAGCCGGAAUUGCUAGUAAUGGCAGGUCAGCAUACUGCCGUGAAUACGUUCCCGGGCCUUGUACACACCGCCCGUCACACCAUGAGAGUUGGGAAUACCCGAAGCCUGUGAGCUAACGUAAGAGGCAGCAGUCGAAGGUAGAAUCAAUGAUUGGGGUGAAGUCGUAACAAGGUAUC
rnacentral:rRNA from 1 species